UCGAGGGGUACAGGAGUAGCAAUACUUGCUGACGACCGGCGCACGGGUGCGUAACACGUUUGCAACCUUCCUUUAACUGGGGAAUAGCCCCGAGAAAUCGGGAUUAACACCCCAUAACAUUAUGAAGAGGCAUCUCUUUAUAAUUAAAGCUCCGGCGGUUAAAGAUGGGCACGCGUAACAUUAGCUAGUUGGUGAGGUAAUGGCUCACCAAGGCUUCGAUGUUUAGGGGACCUAAGAGGGUUAACCCCCACACUGGUACUGAGACACGGACCAGACUCCUACGGGAGGCAGCAGUAAGGAAUAUUGGACAAUGGUCGCAAGACUGAUCCAGCCAUGCCGCGUGAAGGAUGACGGCGCUAUGCGUUGUAAACUUCUUUUAUACGGGAAAAAACCCUUGGAUGCGUCCGAGGCUGAUUGUACUGUAAGAAUAAGGAUCGGCUAACUUCGUGCCAGCAGCCGCGGUAAUACGAAGGAUCCAAGCGUUAUCCGGAUUUAUUGGGUUUAAAGGGUGCGUAGGCGGUUUUGUAAGUCAGCGGUGAAAUCUUCGGGCUUAACCCGGAAAGUGCCAUUGAUACUGCAGAACUUGAGUACAUUUGAAGUGGGCGGAAUAUGACAUGUAGUGGUGAAAUACUUAGAUAUGUCAUAGAACACCGAUUGCGAAGGCAGCUCACUAAAC
rnacentral:rRNA from 1 species